GGCCAGACAGUCGCGUCACUCGCAAGAGUGCCGAGGAAAGUCCGGGCUCCAUAGGGCAAGGUGCCAGGUAACGCCUGGGCGGCGCAAGCCGACGGACAGUGCAACAGAAAGAUACCGCCUACGUUCCUUUCGGGGAGCCGGUAAGGGUGAAAUGGUGCGGUAAGAGCGCACCGCGAGUCCGGUAACGGACCGGCACGGCAAACCCCACCUGGAGCAAGACCAAAUAGGGAU
rnacentral:RNase_P_RNA from 1 species